AUUACAUCCCUGUUUUUGUAUACAAGCCCUAACAAGCGAAGUAUAAUGUCAUCGGGGCUAUAUAUGAGUGAUUUAUUAAUACUUGUUUCUUGUCAGAGUACUAAUUUCUGAAAAUCAUGAUGGAUUAUGCUGUAAAUAGUUUGAUCAAUGGAAGAACAAAAAAUAUUUGAUAACAAUGUUUAACUGGAGCUGUGCUUAGUCAUACAUUGCUUUCCGUUUCACUGUCAUUAUUACUGCAAAAUCCACUAUACAUUCAGGAUAGAUUGAUAAGCUUUAGAACAGAGCUCCUCGAGAAAUGAGCAAAGUUAUGUAACUUUGUUUUGAAAGCAAAGAAACUGGAGCUAUAGCUUAUAUGGAAUAUUAAACCCUGAUACCCAAAAGUACAGUUUUUGCAAUAAAAUGGUCUGACCACAAGGCAUGAUUAUAUGACUAGUGUAAAGCAU